rnacentral:rRNA from 1 species
GAUGAACGCUGGCGGCGUGCUUAACACAUGCAAGUCGAACGAUGAAGCCCAGCUUGCUGGGUGGAUUAGUGGCGAACGGGUGAGUAACACGUGAGUAACCUGCCCUUAACUCUGGGAUAAGCCUGGUAAACUGGGUCUAAUACCGGAUAGGAGCGUCCACCGCAUGGUGGGUGUUGGAAAGAUUUAUCGGUUUUGGAUGGACUCGCGGCCUAUCAGCUUGUUGGUGAGGUAAUGGCUCACCAAGGCGACGACGGGUAGCCGGCCUGAGAGGGUGACCGGCCACACUGGGACUGAGACACGGCCCAGACUCCUACGGGAGGCAGCAGUGGGGAAUAUUGCACAAUGGGCGCAAGCCUGAUGCAGCGGCGCCGCGUGAGGGAUGACGGCCUUCGGGUUGUAAACCUCUUUCAGUAGGGAAGAAGCGAAAGUGACGGUACCUGCAGAAGAAGCACCGGCUAACUACGUG